rnacentral:tRNA from 1 species
CUGACCUUAGCUCAAUUGGUAGAGCGGACGACUGUAGAUCCUUAGGUCGCUGGUUCGAAUCCGACAGGUUUAU